UACAGAGGGGGCAAGCGUUGUUCGGAAUUACUGGGCGUAAAGGGCGCGUAGGCGGCCUUCUAAGUCGAACGUGAAAUCCCCGGGCUCAACCCGGGAACUGCGUCCGAUACUGUAAGGCUUGAAUCCGGGAGAGGGAUGCGGAAUUCCAGGUGUAGCGGUGAAAUGCGUAGAUAUCUGGAGGAACACCGGUGGCGAAGGCGGCAUCCUGGACCGACAUUGACGCUGAACGGCGAAAGCUAGGGGAGCAAACGGG
rnacentral:rRNA from 1 species